rnacentral:rRNA from 1 species
AUUGAACGCUAGCGGGAUGCCUUACACAUGCAAGUCGAACGGCAGCGCGGACUUCGGUCUGGCGGCGAGUGGCGAACGGGUGAGUAAUAUAUCGGAACGUGCCUAGUAGCGGGGGAUAACUACUCGAAAGAGUGGCUAAUACCGCAUACGCCCUACGGGGGAAAGGGGGGGAUCGCAAGACCUCUCACUAUUAGAGCGGCCGAUAUCGGAUUAGCUAGUUGGUGGGGUAAAGGCCCACCAAGGCGACGAUCCGUAGCUGGUUUGAGAGGACGACCAGCCACACUGGGACUGAGACACGGCCCAGACUCCUACGGGAGGCAGCAGUGGGGAAUUUUGGACAAUGGGGGAAACCCUGAUCCAGCCAUUCCGCGUGUGCGAUGAAGGCCUUCGGGUUGUAAAGCACUUUUGGCAGGAAAGAAAUCGCACAGAUUAAUACUUUGUGUGGAUGACGGUACCUGCAGAAUAAGCACCGGCUAACUACGUGCCAGCAGCCGCGGUAAUACGUAGGGUGCAAGCGUUAAUCGGAAUUACUGGGCGUAAAGCGUGCGCAGGCGGUUCGGAAAGAGAGGUGUGAAAUCCCAGGGCUUAACCUUGGAACUGCACUUUUAACUCCCGAGCUAGAGUAUGUCAGAGGGGGGUGGAAUUCCGCGUGUAGCAGUGAAAUGCGUAGAUAUGCGGAGGAACACCGAUGGCGAAGGCAGCCCCC